rnacentral:rRNA from 1 species
AUUGAACGCUGGCGGCAGGCCUAACACAUGCAAGUCGAACGAGUGGCGGACGGGUGAGUAAUGUCUGGGAAUCUGCCUGAUGGAGGGGGAUAACUACUGGAAACGGUAGCUAAUACCGCAUACCAUCGGAUGUGCCCAUAUUGGAUUAGCUUGUAGGUGGGGUAACGGCUCACCUAGGCGACGAUCCCUAGCUGGGCUGAGAGGAUGACCAGCCACACUGGAACUGAGAAACGGCCCAGACUCCUACGGGAGGCAGCAGUGGGGAAUAUUGCACAAUGGGCGCAAGCCUGAUGCAGCCAUGCAGCGUGUAUGAAGAAGGCCUUCGGGUUGUAAAGUACUUUCAGUCGGGAGGCGUUACCGGCAGAAGAAGCACCGGCUAACGUCGUGCCAGCAGCCGCGGUAAUUC